GGCUGCAGUCGAGGAUCUUCGGCAAUGGGCGCAAGCCUGACCGAGCGACGCCGCGUGUGGGAUGAAGGCCUUCGGGUUGUAAACCGCUGUCAGUGGGGAGGAAAUGCGGGAGGGUACUCCCUUCCGUUUGACCUAUCCGCAGAGGAAGUACGGGCUAAGUUCGUGCCAGCAGCCGCGGUAACACGAACCGUACGAACGUUAUUCGGAAUUACUGGGCUUAAAGGGUGCGUAGGCGGCUCAGAAAGUUGGGUGUGAAAGCCCUCGGCUCAACCGAGGAACUGCGCCCAAAGCUACUGAGCUCGAGGGAGACAGAGGUGAGUGGAACUUAGGGUGGAGCGGUGAAAUGCGUUGAUAUCCUAAGGAACACCAGUGGCGAAAGCGACUCACUGGGUCUCUUCUGACGCUGAGGCACGAAAGCUAGGGGAGCGAACGGGAUUAGAUACCCCGGUAGUCCUAGCCUUAAACGAUGAGCACUGGAUCGAAGGACCCCCCAUAGUCUUUUGGUCGUAGCGAAAGUGUUAAGUGCUCCGCCUGGGGAUUAUGGUCGCAAGGCUGAAACUCAAAGGAAUUGACGGGGGCUCACACA
rnacentral:rRNA from 1 species